GACCCGUUGGUCAAGUGGUUAAGACACCGCCCUUUCACGGCGGUAACAUGGGUUC
rnacentral:tRNA from 1 species